rnacentral:rRNA from 1 species
UACGGGGGGGGCAAGCGUUGUUCGGAAUUACUGGGCGUAAAGGGCUCGUAGGCGGCCAACUAAGUCGGAUGUGAAAUCCCCAGGCUUAACCUGGGAACCGCAUCCGAUACUGGAUGGCUUGAAUUCGGGAGAGGGAUGCAGAAUUCCAGGUGUAGCGGUGAAAUGCGUAGAUAUCUGGAGGAAUACCGGUGGCGAAGGCGGCAUCCUGGACCGAGAUUGACGCUGAUGAGCGAAAGCUAGGGGAGCAAACGGG